AGCUCUGUAGUGAAGUUCAUGUUGAGUUGCAAACUCAGUGAUGUGUAUAGAGGUACACCAGGGCUU
rnacentral:tRNA from 1 species